rnacentral:rRNA from 1 species
AGUGAACGCUGGCGGUAGGCCUAACACAUGCAAGUCGAACGGCAGCACAGUAAGAGCUUGCUCCUACGGGUGGCGAGUGGCGGACGGGUGAGGAAUACAUCGGAAUCUACUUUUUCGUGGGGGAUAACGUAGGGAAACUUACGCUAAUACCGCAUACGACCUACGGGUGAAAGCAGGGGAUCUUCGGACCUUGCGCGAUUGAAUGAGCCGAUGUCGGAUUAGCUAGUUGGCGGGGUAAAGGCCCACCAAGGCGACGAUCCGUAGCUGGUCUGAGAGGAUGAUCAGCCACACUGGAACUGAGACACGGUCCAGACUCCUACGGGAGGCAGCAGUGGGGAAUAUUGGACAAUGGGCGCAAGCCUGAUCCAGCCAUACCGCGUGGGUGAAGAAGGCCUUCGGGUUGUAAAGCCCUUUUGUUGGGAAAGAAAAGCAGCAGGUUAAUACCCCGCUGUUCUGACGGUACCCAAAGAAUAAGCACCGGCUAACUCCGUG